CGGGGCAGCGCGGAUGCUCCCCUCCUAGGCGCGGCGUGUGCUGCCCGCCACCCGCCUAAAUCAUGGUGAUCAUGUCAGAGUAUACCUCCGUGCCCGCUGCCGGACAAGCCCAGCAGCGGCCCCUGCGAGUCGGCUUCUACGAUAUCGAGAGGACCUUGGGAAAAGGCAACUUCGCGGUGGUCAAACUGGCCAGGCACAGAGUGACCAAAACGCAGGUUGCAAUAAAAAUAAUAGACAAAACAAGGUUAGACCCAAGCAAUCUGGAGAAGAUUUAUAGAGAAGUUCAGAUAAUGAAGCUUUUGAAUCAUCCCCACAUUAUCAAGCUAUAUCAGGUUAUGGAGACAAAAGAUAUGCUUUACAUUGUUACUGAGUUUGCAAAGAAUGGAGAAAUGUUUGAUCAUCUGACCUCCAAUGGGCACUUAAGUGAAAGUGAAGCACGGAAGAAGUUCUGGCAGAUUCUUUCAGCGGUGGAAUAUUGUCACAGCCACCACAUAGUGCACAGGGAUCUCAAAACAGAGAACCUUCUGCUAGAUGCUAACAUGAAUAUCAAGUUAGCAGACUUUGGCUUUGGAAACUUCUACAAGUUGGGAGAGCCCCUCUCCACUUGGUGUGGAAGCCCACCCUAUGCAGCUCCAGAAGUUUUUGAAGGCAAAGAAUAUGAAGGACCUCACCUUGAUAUAUGGAGCCUUGGUGUGGUGCUGUAUGUCCUUGUCUGUGGUUCUCUGCCUUUCGAUGGACCCAAUUUACCAACUCUGAGACAAAGAGUGCUGGAGGGGCGGUUCCGCAUCCCCUACUUCAUGUCCGAAGACUGUGAAACACUAAUCCGACGGAUGUUGGUUGUGGACCCAACCAAGCGAAUAACCAUUUCCCAAAUAAAGCAGCACAAGUGGAUGCAAGCUGACCCGUCUCUUCAACAGCAGCAGUCUUUGUCCUUCUCCAUGCAAAACUACAACUCCAACCUGGGUGACUACAAUGAGCAGGUCCUUGGGAUCAUGCAAACACUUGGCAUUGACAGGCAGAGAACUGUUGAGUCUCUGCAAAACAGCAGCUACAACCAUUUUGCUGCAAUUUAUUACCUGCUCUUGGAGCGCCUCAAGGAGUAUCGAAGCAGCCAGCUAUCAAGUCGUCCAGCAACUGGCCGUCAGCAAAGGCCGAGGAGCUCCGAGAUCAGCAGUGUUGAGAUGCCUCAGGACAGUCUCACUAGUGAAACCCUGCGAUCAUCUCUGCUUUACCAGCAACCUCAGAGCCUGAUUCAGCCAUCCUUGCAGGCAGAAAUGGACUGUGACAUGAGCAAUCCAUUACAGCCUGUGUUCUUUCCUGUGGAUCCCAACUUCAACGGGCUCUUCCGGAACCGCUCCAUCUCCCCCAACAGCCUGCUGGAGACCACCAUUAGUGAAGAAGUAAGGCAAGAGAAGGAGCUGGAAGACGAAAUUAAGGCAUAUGACCACCCCAUCCGCAUCCCUAGCAACACCAGCAGGAGGCACACACUGGCCGAAGUGACCACUCAUUUCUAUCAGCAUGCCCCUCCAUGUAUAGUCAUUUCCUCUUCUGCAAGCCCCACAGAGGGAACUAGUUCAGACAGCUGCCUUACUUCAUCUUCAAAUGACAGCUCAGUGGCCCUGAGCAGCUGUUUGGCAGGUCAAGUAAUGACGGGGAGCCCAGCCACAGCUAGGAUGACGUCGCCCUUCCUAGCUUCCCACUCUGAUGCUCCGGUGUUACAAGCCCAGGGCUGCAUGGGAGGUGCUUCUCUCCUGCCUGUCAGCUUCCAAGAAGGAAGGCGAGCAUCUGAUACCUCAUUAACUCAAGGCUUGAAGGCUUUUAGGCAGCAGCUGCGGAAGAACGCUCGAGCCAAGGGGUUUCUCGGCUUGAAUAAAAUCAAAGGCUUUGCUCGGCAGGUGUGUCAGUCCUCCUCAUCUCGGGCAGCAAGGAGUGCGAUGAGCCCUUUCCAACACACGCAGCCGAACACCUGCAUGUACAGCAGCAGUGGGAGCAGCAGAGAGGGAAGAAGCCUCCUGGAGGAGGUGCUACAGCAGCAGAGAAUGCUCCAGCUCCAGCAUCACCAGCUACUCCAGACAGCUUGUCCCCAGACUUCUCAGACAUCUGCAACAAAUGGCGUCCCCUCCUCUGAUAGUGUACGUACCUGCAAAGCAUCCAAUUCUCUUCUGUUGUCAGAGCUACAAAGAGAGAACUCAUUUGAGCUGGCCUUUGCUGGCAACAGCCAACUGCUCCAACCUCAUUUCUUUGGUGUCAGUGUGUCACCAGUGUCCUCAGCAGCUCACCUUUUAGACACGCACCUGUACAUCAGCAGCAACGUUUCUCCAGUUGGCACCACCUUCUCUCAGCAGCAGAGUUUCUCUGCGCCGUCUCCAAGCUAUGAUGCUGUCACUCUGCAGCACGGGGAUUGUGAGAUGGAGGACCUGACUUCCAACCAGCUAGGGAAGUUCGUCCUGGUCAAAUGAGAGCCCCGGCUGCUACAGCUCACGCUGCUCUCGUUGUGAAGAACUUUCACCGCUGUUCCAUGGCGUGUGUGGGUCCACGGCUGGCUGGUGUCGUGUGGACGAGUGACUCUCGGAAGCAAUAAAUUUUGAAGUAUGUGAAGAGGCUGUCUGGCUCAGAAAGCUAGCAACUUUAUAGAACUGAAACAAGCAAUAUGGUCCAAACAGAACUGACUCUUGGGGAAAUGUGCAAUAUUGAGGUUAUAAUUAUAUACUGACAAAGACAAAAGGAAUAGGCUAGAACGGAAUUCUACUCUAAUGGAGUACAGCUAUUUCUGAACAAAACUGUAUUAAAAGUGAGUAAAACAGCACAAUCUUUGGGUGUUUGUUUUUGGUUGGUUUGGUUUUGGCAUAUUAGCAAAAUGAGAUUUUGGAUUAGAUAGGUGUUUUUUCGUAUGGUUUUUAAUGCUGUAUAUGUAUAUAAAUAGGAAGCAGAAAACUAUAUAACACUAGUUAUUUUUUAUAUUUUGUAAUACGCUUAUAUUGUGUUUCUGGUGUAAACCCCAGUCCCUUUCCAAGGCAGAGUAUGACUUCUGUUGGUAUCAACAGAAGUUGUGCUUAGGUAUAACGGGGAGAACAGACUGUGCUCCUACAGAAAUGAGUCGGGUAGGGCACGCAAACUUUGGAAGCAGGUGAGCAAACAGUGAGCCAGCUUGGCUGGAAGCUGCCAUCCGAAUGUCAGAAAAUAGCUGCAUUCUGCCUAAAUGCUUAAAGGACCCAUCUCCCUAGUGUGACACAGGGUGCCUUCAAGUUACCUUGGCUUCAUGCAACCUGCAGUAUUACGCAUUUGCAAAUAAUACAGAUACCUGUUUUUUUGUUUGUUUUGUUUUUUUAAAAAAAGAAAAAAGCCAAAGAUCGACCAGGUUAAUUGGUGGGAGUAGGAAGGGUUGAAGAUGUCAUGUGGCUCUGUCUGUGGCUCUCCAUAAAUGACCUCUUUAUCUGUGUGUUGUAUCUGUGUGUCUGUAUUGGUGCAUCUCCGGCUUGCCACUGCUGCUACGUGGUCUGGAAGCUUCAAAGUGAGAGAAAAUUGCUUGAGUUGAAUUUCUGUUAAUGAGUGGUGCCUUGCAGCAGAGAAAACACCAAAGUCUCAUGCUCAUUUGUAGUGGUUUAAAAAAAAAAAAAAACAGGAAAAAAAACCAACCCAAAAAGCAGAUUGCGUGGAGAUGACUGGAGAGGAGGGCAAGAAGAAGCCAGCUCAUCACAAAGCAGCAACUUUGCCUUCAGUUUUGUAAGGGGUAGCACACAUACUUAAAACGCAGAAUUUCCUCUUCAAUAUUUGUUUUGUUUAAUGCCAUGGAUCAAAAGGCCACAGAUUCUUUUGUUUCCUGUCCUGAGCAAUGACAAGCACUUUACUUUCAUAGUAUUUUUUUUUCUUUUCCAAUUGCUGUAGAACCUCUUUGGAAUUAUUGCUGGAGCAGAAAGAGGUCAUCUUAAAAGUCUGGGUUUUUUUGUAGAUAUCUUGACAGUGCUGUUCUGCAGACUGCAAUGCAAUAGGGUAUUUAAAGACACUACGUGAUUGGUUUAAUUGAGAUGUAUAGUUUAUUUUUUAUCAUGACUGCACAAUCAUUUUAUUUCUUAUGUUAAAAUGAGAGGUGUACACCAAAAUGAUUAGUUGAUGUGUUUUAUUUAAUAUUUAAAUAAAAAAUGUUUUAAAAUUGUUGUCCUGCA